rnacentral:rRNA from 1 species
AGUGAACGCUGGCGGUAGGCCUAACACAUGCAAGUCGAACGGCAGCACAGUAAGAGCUUGCUCUUAGGGUGGGGGGUGGGGGGAGGGGGGGGAAUACAACGGAAUCUUCUUUUUCGUGGGGGGAUAAGUAGGGGAAAUUAAGCUAAUACCGCAUAACACCUUACGGUGGAAGCAAGGGAUUUUUCGAACUUGCGCGGAUGGAUUGAGCGAAGUUGGAUUAGCUAGUUGGCGGGGUAAAGGCCCACCAAGGCGACGAUCCGUAGCUGGUCUGAGAGGAUGAUCAGCCACACUGGAACUGAGACACGGUCCAGACUCCUACGGGAGGCAGCAGUGGGGAAUAUUGGACAAUGGGCGCAAGCCUGAUCCAGCCAUACCGCGUGGGUGAAGAAGGCCUUCGGGUUGUAAAGCCCUUUUGUUGGGAAAGAAAAGCAGCAGGUUAAUACCCCGCUGUUCUGACGGUACCCAAAGAAUAAGCACCGGCUAACUUCGUG